rnacentral:rRNA from 1 species
CCUACGGGUGGCAGCAGUGAGGAAUAUUGGUCAAUGGACGAGAGUCUGAACCAGCCAAGUAGCGUGAAGGAUGACUGCCCUCUGGGUUGUAAACUUCUUUUAUAUGGGAAUAAAAUAUUCCACGUGUGGGAUUUUGUAUGUACCAUAUGAAUAAGGAUCGGCUAACUCCGUGCCAGCAGCCGCGGUAAUACGGAGGAUCCGAGCGUUAUCCGGAUUUAUUGGGUUUAAAGGGAGCGUAGGUGGAUUGUUAAGUCAGUUGUGAAAGUUUGCGGCUCAACCGUAAAAUUGCAGUUGAAACUGGCAGUCUUGAGUACAGUAGAGGUGGGCGGAAUUCGUGGUGUAGCGGUGAAAUGCUUAGAUAUCACGAAGAACUCCGAUUGCGAAGGCAGUUCACUGGACUGCAACUGACACUGAGGCUCGAAAGUGUGGGUAUCAAACAGGAUUAGAUACCCCUGUAGUC